rnacentral:rRNA from 1 species
AUGCUUAUGUUUGAGAAACACUCGGAGACAAAGGUGGUGCGUAUGAUCAUUGCAUAUUGUGAUCCGUCUGAACCGUAUGAGCCUAUCACCGAGUGGCAUAGUGAUGCGCAUAGCCAACCUAAUAAAAAUGUAGAACAAGAGGAUGAUACUUACCUUCGCAACCCAAGACCUGAGAAUGAGCAUGUUGGUGUUGAUGAGGAGAAUAUGUAUGAAGUGGAUGAACCUAUUCCCUUAAAUGUGGUUCUUUGUCCUAAUAAAGAGAAGGACAAAGACUAUAUUUGUGAGGAUGAUAGUGAGGCUGAGAGUGAAGUAGAGGAUGAUGAAGUAGAGGAGGUUGAAGUAGAGGAGGAUGAGGAGUUGCAUGAGGCAGAGCAUACUCCACAUGUAGAGUAUGACAAAUUAGACCCUCCAAUGACAAAAGGCUUUACAUAUCCCAGCAUGAAAGAGUUCAAGUUGGCACUUUCUCAGCAUGCAAUCAAACGUGAAUUUGAGUAUAACACCGAGUAUAGUACCCGUCAUCGGUUUAGGGGCUAUUGUUCAAGACGGGAUGCAGAUAAUUGUCCCUGGAGGAUACAUGCUUCUACAACAGAAGAUAAGUGUACCGUGAUGGUAAUUGUUUAA